AAAGAAAGGAAUGAGUUAGCAGAAUGAAGUUAGUAGUUACAGUUCAGUUAAAUGUCAAUUGAUCAACACCAUUUCCAUUCAGUCAAUGAAAAGUAUAUUUACUUUAAUCAAGCUAUAUUCCUUUAGCUCUCUACCGACUGAACUCUCGAUGGCCGUUCCCACCCCACCGGCAAUCCUCUCCCCUGCCCGCUAUAUUCUUCUUCUUAUCAGUUUGUUUUUUAUUUAUUAGAGCUAUGGAGUUGUAUAGUAGGAGUAGUAUAUGAUUGUGAAUGGUGUUAUUGUAGGAGAGCCUCAAGUAAACGUCCAUCUGAAUAAAAGGCACACCAAAGCCUUCCAGUUUUUUACUGUAAAUCAGUCAUCAAAGGUCUUUCUAAUGAAUGCAGCCAACCCUUUAUCUGGGGAGGUGAACCAAACGCUCAUUGCGUUAUUGAGCAUCAUCAAGGAUACCUCUACCUCUUUACAACUGCCGCUUUGCAGGGGCAGCCUGUUGAUAAGCAUUACCUUUUGUCUAGUCACAUUGUUUCUUCAUGUGGUGCAAGGAAUUGGAAGUGUUGAUUAUGAUUAGCUGAACGGAAAAUGGACUAUUGUUCAACAACAAAACAUGCUUAUAUGGAUCAUCAGCUGCUGUAAGCUACUCUCUAUGUCAAUAAUGCAGAAGAUUGAUGACCUCUCUGAGAGGGUUUCGGUUCCACUUACCAUACUUAAUCACGCUACAAGAAUAAUUCUGGGAGACUGUGAAGGAAAGGAUCACAUAUCUUGUGCUAAGUUUUCUAAUUGAAAGGUUGCUUUCCUUAUCAAGUUUGUAGAUGAUCAGAUGGGAGAACUUGUCUUUCCAGGUGGAAGUCUCACUUACUAUGCGCCAUCGCCAUGCGUUGGACGUUGGAAAGGGGCUUUUUCUCGAUUAAGCGAAUCAUGGCGCAUGGUUGCUGUGGGUGGUCUCUUCUUUUUUUGUGACAUUGCCAUCAGGGAAAUUAUAAAGUAGGAUCUCUUUUAUACACUUGAAAUUAGCAAUGCUCAUUGACGAUAAUCAUGUGCAGUUUUUCUUUACAAUCCAUUACUCCAUAAAUAUUGCUUCUCCAUCAAUAAAAUUGGACUUCAAAGAUU